rnacentral:tRNA from 1 species
GGGGCUGUAGUAUAACUUGGCAGAAUAGGGGCCUCCAGAGCCUUAGAUCAGGGUUCAAAUCCCUGCAGCCCCA